GAUGAACGCUGGCGGCGUGCCUAAUACAUGCAAGUCGGGCGAAUGGAUUAAGAGCUUGCUCUUAUGAAGUUAGCGGCGGACGGGUGAGUAACACGUGGGUAACCUGCCCAUAAGACUGGGAUAACUCCGGGAAACCGGGGCUAAUACCGGAUAACAUUUUGAACCGCAUGGUUCGAAAUUGAAAGGCGGCUUCAGCUGUCACUUAUGGAUGGACCCGCGUCGCAUUAGCUAGUUGGUGAGGUAACGGCUCACCAAGGCAACGAUGCGUAGCCGACCUGAGAGGGGGAUCGGCCACACUGGGACUGAGACACGGCCCAGACUCCUACGGGAGGCAGCAGUAGGGAAUCUUCCGCAAUGGACGAAAGUCUGACGGAGCAACGCCGCGUGAGUGAUGAAGGCUUUCGGGUCGUAAAACUCUGUUGUUAGGGAAGAACAAGUGCUAGUUGAAUAAGCUGGCACCUUGACGGUACCUAACCAGAAAGCCACGGCUAACUACGUGCCAGCCGCCGCGGUAA
rnacentral:rRNA from 1 species